CCUACGGGAGGCAGCAGUGGGGGAUAUUGCACAAUGGGGGGAACCCUGAUGCAGCGACGCCGCGUGGGUGAAGAAGCGCCUCGGCGCGUAAAGCCCUGUCAGCAGGGAAGAAAAUGACGGUACCUGAAGAAGAAGCCCCGGCUAACUACGUGCCAGCAGCCGCGGUAAUACGUAGGGGGCAAGCGUUAGCCGGAUUUACUGGGUGGAAAGGGGGCGCAGACGGCGAGGCAAGCCAGGAGGGAAAGCCCGGGGCCCAACCCCGGGACUGCUGUUGGAACUGGGUGGCUGGAGUGCAGGAGGGGCAGGCGGAAUUGCUGGUGUAGCGGUGAAAUGCGUAGAGAUCAGGAGGAACACCGGUGGCGAAGGCGGCCUGCUGGACUGCAACUGACGUUGAGGCCCGAAAGUGUGGGGAGCAAACAGGAUUAGAUACCCGGGUAGUC
rnacentral:rRNA from 1 species